GGUUGGAGUGUGUGUACGGACUCUGCUUGGCGGAGUUGCUCUGGUGUACUUCCCCAACAUCAGAUCAAUGACCCCGGGCAGGGCCCUACGCACACCCCGGCAGUUU
rfam:Corynebacterium durum F0235 genomic scaffold Scfld66, whole genome shotgun sequence.